UUGAGAUAAGCAUGUCAAAUGCAACAUUUUGGGGAAUAAAACUUAAAGAGCACGAGCAGCUUUUUUCAUGUACGUAGCUGCAUCAGUCACAAACAAGAAUAUUUUCAUGUUUUGUACCUUCUGGCCAAAGUACAGCAAUUGAAGAUGUAAACAACUGAGUAAUAAUUUUCAAACUCUUCUAAACUCGCCAAUUAGGUCGCCCAUGUGGGACAUAGAAACAUACCUAGAAAAUAGGUGCAGGAGGAGGCCAUUCGGCCCUUCGUGCCAGCACCGCCAUUCAUUGUGAUCGUGGCUGAUCGGCCCCAAUCAAUAACCCGUGCCUGCCUUCUCCACAUACCCCUUGAUUCCACUUGCCUCAUUGUACUCUUUGAUCUGGAUCAAUUUAUGUCUCAAACCUACGUUGGAGCACAGAGCCAUGAUGGAUUAUACAGAAAGAAACAAGGACAGAACGAGACUGUUGUGUCAUAUGUAGCAAUUCCAAUCUUAAAUUAACCCCACUACCUGCUCCCUCCUCAAGGUCCUAUGUACUCGGCUUUAAAUAUAUAUCCACUUUUUCUACCUUUGGUAGAGAACUUCCCACCUUCGAUUGUAUGAAGACUGAUUUCCUAAUGUCCUUGCUGCGUUGGGGAAUUUUUUUGGUUUACGAUACCUUGGCAGUAGUAUAGAAUUUUGUCUUUCUUUGUUUAUAUGAUCAAAGCUAUUUAGUAUUUUUAAAAAUUGAUCUAACUUUCUUUCAGAUAUCUCUGUUUUAGAUAACAGACCCAAUAACAAAUUUAUGCUUGUAACUAUAGUUUCCUACUUAUGCAAGCUACCUGAUUUAUCUAUUCUGUUUUAUGCAACAUUUAUGUCCUUUUUUAAAAAGGUACUUCCAAGCUACAUGUGAUAGGCUUAACUGUAGUCAAACCAAUGUUUUUUGCAACUUUACUUUUCCUUGUAUCAAUAUGCCGUAAGAAUAAUAGAAAACAACUGCUGUGCACCCUCCUGAUAUCUCGUAUCUACAGGGACGUAUACACAUCUUGCUGAGGAAGAAAUGUAUCCUCGUGUAUGUACUAAUUGUGUAAAAUUUCAGAAGCUGACUUGGAACUGAAGUUCAGAAGAAGGGAAGAAUAUUAUUUUUUUUUUUCUGGAUUAUGCUUUAUUUAAAAUAUAUGAUAUUAUUAGAUUAUUAUUAUUGUCAAGCGCACUGAGAUACAGUGAAAAAAUAAACAGUAGAAUAUAGAAAUACAGCCAUAGAGAAAGUGAAAAUUUAAAAAAAAAGUGCGAGGGCUGCAGUUAUGUAGAUUUCGAGAUCAGGAAUGUAUCCUAGCUCACGAGAGGUCUGUUCAAGUGGAAAAUAAACUGUCCUUGAAUCUGCUGGUUGGUAUGUGCUUUGAAGCUUUUGUAUAUUGUGCCUGACAGGAGAGGGAGAAAGAAUGAAUGACUGGAGUGUAAAUGGUUAUCCUCGAUUAUGUUGGCCAUUUUCCCGAAGCAGCCAGAAUUGUAUAUAGAGGCGAUGUGGAGGACGGUAGACCAAUUUGUGUGCUGGACUGGGCUGCAUCCAUUACUAAUUGCAAUUUCUUGAGGUCUUGGGCUGAGAAGCUGCCAAACCAAUUUGUAAUGCCUCCCAAUAUGAUGCUUUCAGCAAUGCAACUGUAGAAAUUGGUAAGAGUCAUUAAAAACAUGCAGACUUCCUGUACUUCCGAGGAUGUAGAGGCGUUAGUGUGCUUUCUUGGCUGUAGUUCUUUAUUUAUUCUUUCCCGAUGUAGUGAUACUGUUUAUUUGACAGUAUUGUUUCGUAGAAGUCCAUUCCAGUUAUCACAUGUCUAUUUCCCUGUCCUUCCAGGAGGAAUCAUUGGACAUUUUGGCUGUUUUUUGUCAUAGUUUUAGUCCAGAGACACAAAAGCUGUACCAUUUAUAUGUGGCUGUGGGUGGGUGAGUGGUGGAAAAUUGUGUUGGAGGAACGGGUUGCGUUGGGGGAACGGGUGAGUGGUGGAUUAUUGCGUUGGGGAAUGGGUUGUGUUGGGGGACCAGGCCUCCCGUGUGACUGGGACCCAACAGGUCCCACUUUGUCUAGUGGCUACUAAAACGGUUCUGGUUUCUAUGGACAGAUAAUCUCUAUUUUUUACAAAUUAGUAGUGGAGCUAAGCGAUAUUUUAUUUCAAAUGUGAAAAAAUAUUUGACCGUGAUUUUCUUUUCUACAGUUUUUUUUUAGUAGCAAAGUAUUGAGUCAGAAUCUGAUUUAAUAUUGAUCUUAUCUGUCAAAGAUUCAUACAAUGGAGAGGCUGGCAGCAAAAUGAGUUUGAAUGCAGCACUUUCUGUUCUGGGCUCUGAACCUAGAAUGCACCCUGGCUCAAUUUAGUAGAUGAAACAGCAUCAAUGGAGUAUGAUUAUCUGUAGUAACAGAAAAUACAUUACCUAUUAAUAAAUGGUCAAAAUUGAGCAAAUGUGCUUGGUAAGAUUUCUUAUGAAAGUAGUGCUUUAUUAAUGCACAAAUUCACAGGAUUGUGUGGUGAUUCUUAAACUAAAGAAAUUCUGAGCAGACAUAAAAUAAUCUGAAAUUAAGUUUACCUUGAUUAAUUUAGGUAUAUGAAUGUAUUACAUUAUUAGGUAAACUAAGAAAGUAAUAAGAAAAGGUAAUUUAGCUCUCCAAACACCCUCCCACACCUCUGAAAGGGAAUUCUGAAAAAUAUCUUCCUGAGCCUGAAGGCAAACAUGAAAUUCCUUUAUUGCAGGUAACUGAUUUCUUGAAGAUUUGUCAAUAAAUUUGGCUACUAUCACAGACUAUCAAGCAUAUGAGAAAAUAUAUUAGCAACAUAUAGAGGAAGGACAUUCUUGCUAUUGAAGGAGUGCAGCGUAGGUUCAGAAGGUUAAUUCCCGGGAUGGCUGGACUGUCAUAUGCUGAGAGAAUGGAGUGGCUGGGCUUGUAUACUCUGGAAUUUAGAAAGAUGAGAGGGGAUCUUAUUGAAACAUAUAAGAUUAUUAAGGGUUUGGACACACAAGAGGCAGUAAACAUGUUCCCGAUGUUGGGUGAGUCCAGAACCAGGGGCCACAGUUUAAGAAUAAGGGGUAAGCCAUUUAGAACGGAGAUGAGGAAACACUUUUUCACACAGAGAGUUGCGAGUCUGUGGAAUUCUAUGCCUCAGAGGGCGGUGGAGGCCGGUUCUCUGGAUACUUUCAAGAGAGAGCUAGAUAGGGCUCUUAAAAAUAGCUGGGGAUAUGGGGAGAAGACAGGAACGGGGUACUGAUUGUGGAUGAUCAGCCAUGAUCACAUUGAAUGGUGGUGCUGACUCGAAGGGCCGAAUGGCCUACUCCUGCACCUAUUGUCUAUUGCCUAUAGCCAAUGGAUGUUAUCUGUCCAGUAAAAUCUGGGUAAAUUUGGUCCAUAUUUUAAUAUUGUGAGCUUGUCAGACCCAAAGAGGAAAAAGUUAUCAUGGACCUGAGUGAACCAUUGUGUGUUUAAUCACGUAAUCAAAUAUAUUUGAAAUAUAUAAAAUAAGUAUUAAUUUUGAGAAUUAUUAGUUGGAGCAAGUAUAUGUGGGAAAGAAAAGAUGGAGAAAAAGAUAUACCAUAAAUUUUACAUUUUUAAGAAACUGAAUAAAAAUGAGUACCUCAAAGAUUAUCUGAUAUAAUCUUGAUUAGAUUAUAGUUGCUAAAUCUUUGAGAGGUUAAUUGAAGUAUGUCAUUUAAAGUACUGCUAAUCCAAGAUUACUUAAGUGUCCUCAAAUAGCUCCUAAAUAAACUCCUUGUGCACUUCAAUGGAUUUUUAUGAUGUGUGAGGCUGAGAGAGUACAUUUUCACAAAGCAAUUUUGGAUUGCUGCCUGUAAUUGUCCGACAUUGCUACAGCAAUAAUGUCUGAGUAAAAGUGAGCACACAGAUAUUUUCAUAGUAGAUAAUAGGUUAUUUGUCUAAUUUUUUUUUUUUUUUUUCCUAGUUUGCUUUUUCCAACUUUGUUUUAAAAUAAUUAUUGUUAGCCAUCUAAUUCCAUAAGAUGUCGAUGCCAUUAUCAUUUAACAAACAAGUUUGUAAUUGUAUAUGUGUUUUCUUUACUUGUAGCUCAAAUAUAAUAGUCCACUUGCACUGCUUUUAUUCAUUCUUGUCCAUGUUGAAAACCAAGAUCACAAGUUCCUCAACCUUUUUUCCAUUGAAAAUGUUCUGAUGUUGGGAUGUAACUGUCUGCGGUUAUCCUUUGGGCUUGCAAUUGCCUGAAACCUUUCCUAAGCACUGGCCAAAAGUUUGCACAGUAUUCCAGUGUGGCCUCACUAAUGAUAUACACAAGGUUAAAAUAACGCAGUAACAAAGUAAACUGGAAAUCAAACUAAUGACAGUAGCAGCUGUUAAUUGUUAUUUCACAAUUCAAAUGUCAGAAAUAUUAGUAGUGAGUAAUAAUUGUUUUAGUGCAUGUUUGCACUGUUGCAACUUGCACUUUCAUGGAUGUGCUAUUGAUAAAAUGGCUAAGAACUUUGGUGAUUUUCUAAAUAGAUAAUCAGUUGUGAAAAUUCUAAAUUAUCAUGUAUGAAGCAUAUUUUCAACAUAUCCACAUAUGUGUGCAUGUACAAAGCAUGCGGGUGAGAUGGAGAGAAGAUUUACUUUGUUUAAUUAUUAAAUUCCCAUCUUUGAAAUGAGCUCUGUUUUGGGAGCUGCAGUAUAGUUUGAAGGAGCAUUGUUAUAGCAGUUUUGAAAAUAUGGUAACCCAAAGUUUAUUACUGGCUUUAAAGCAGACACAAAAAUGUUUAAAUUAUUUUGUGGAAUUAUUAUUGUACAAAAUAAUUAAUUAGCAGCCUUGCAUAUAAACUGUGUACUUUCAAUAACUAUUGUCAAUGCUGUGAAUUUCAUUUGUUAAUCCUUUUGCUUAGUAAUUUGUUUUUUAACGAUUCAGCUAAAUUCGCAGCAGAGAUAGAGGAAAAAAAAGUUGGUGGUUUCUAAUCAUCCAUGCUUGUCUUUAAAAGGAAUAAUAAAAAAUAAAUGUAUGAUAUAAUGUCAUUAGUGUGGUACCCAUGAUAACUUUGCUUGUGAUGUUUGUUUGAUUUUCUUCUGUUGGAAAAAUAUAAAUUCCAGUUCAUUGUUAUUUACCUUGAAGUUAUUUUUGAAAUUGUUUUCCUAUUUUCUCAGUUGAAUGUUUUUUACUUGACCUUUUCUCAAAGCCACUUGGACUAGAGGCAAUAGAAUUGCUUUCAUUAACGCAAAUGAAAAUGGUGGUAACUCAGCAGUUUAUGUAUCAUCUGUGGAGAGAGAACCAUGAUUAAUAUUUUAGGUUGAAAACCCUUCAUCCGAAUUGUGAAAGUGAGAAAACAUUUUAGUUUGAUGUUGCUGAGAGGAUGCGAGAGGGUGUAUAGGAGAGGUCAGGGUUGCUGAGGCUAUUCUAAUAUUCACUGAGACAUUUGGUUGAUACCUUAAUGAGGGUAGUUAGAGAUGGAGACUGAAGCCAAAAGGAGAAUGCUGCAAGUACCCAGCACAACAGACCGUAUCUGUUCAGAGUAAAAUACCAAGUGCAGAUUAGAGCUAGAUAGCCUUAUAACUGAAUUGGCCAAUGUUUACAAAUGGAACAGGCUAUUUACUUAAAAUUAUUCCAUUUGAUAUUGAGACCCCAAGGCGGCAGCAUUCCCAGAAAAUAGAUGAAUUGCUGUUCUUCAAGUUUACAUUGAGUCUUGUUGGAACUGUAUGGGAGGCCCGAGGAUAGAGAAAGUGACUGGCAACUGGAAGCUUGGAGCCUGACAAACAGAAUCAUGCUGCAAAAUGUUUUCACUGUACCUCAGUACAUGUGACAAUAAACAAAACUAAACUAAAUGGCAUCCAAUCUGCAUUUGGUUUCUCCAUUGUAGAGAAACCUUGGAAGAAGUGCAGCCAUUUGAUUUCAACAAUUAAAAUUAGCUUUUUGUGUAAAUUCUUUCCAGGUCUUCACUGGAUUAACUGAAAUACAUUCAUCAUAUAUUUACUGGGCACAUCAUGUGUGUGCCAAGAGUGGGAACAAAGAAGGGAAUGUGGCCAGGUGUGUUUUUGGAAGCUGGGUCUGCAGCAUACCCGAGAGCGAGAACUGGUGUGCAGCUGCGAGCGUGGGCAGGUGUGUGGAUUCUUAUAGUGCCAGGAAUGGGGAUGGCAUGGUUCCCACGUUUUUAGAGCUACCUCUCAUCAAAUUUAGAAUUUGAUGUUUGCCUUCAGUGUGCAGGCAUUAUCUAAGGAAAAAGAUGCAUGAAGACCAAGGCAUCAAACAUUGUCGUAAACAUAUGGUCCACCAAACAGAGGUGAUACAUGACUUAUUUUAUGUUUCUGAGAUUUGGAUUUUUGCAAUGUCACUGCUUUCUGUGACAUUGCAGAUGUUAAGCAUGCAGCUUCAUACCACUUCACAAAUUAUCUACCUGCCUAUCAUAGCAAGCAGUUCCAGCUCCAAAAAUGUUAGUAUCUGCGGACAAUAUUGACUUCAUUAGCCGCCUCAAUAUAUGCAAAAGUGGCGUGGCAACAAAUUAUGCUUGAUCCUGAAGGACUGUCUUAGAAGAAGAUCCUAUUUAAAAUGUUUCUUCAAGGCUCAAGCCAUAAUUUAACUAUCGUAAUUGUUUCUCUUCCACUCUGCUGAAGAUUUGUGUAAAAGAAGUUCAGUUGUGUACUGAUUCUUCUAUGCGUAACUCAGCAAAAGUGUAACUUUAUGUGGAAAGUUUGCUAAUCAAUGAUUUGUUAAAUUUAAGCACCCUUGUAAUACGUUUCUUUAGAAUUUCUUUGACGACUCCCACCAGUUGGAUGCAAGAGGAUAUGAUGAAAUAAGAAUGUUUAAUACCAUAUUCAAAUCAAAUCAAAUCAACCUUUAUUGUCAUCUUUCAAAGCAACAGUUGCAUAGUGCAAAAUGAGAAGACGUUUCCCAGUGAAUACCGGAGCAUUGCACAUGAAACUUAAAACAUUUCACACAUAAUAACAAUAAAAAACAAUCCAGUCCCUGAUUGUUAAUUCAAAUAGAAAUGAAUGAAAUCGAGGUCCAUUGUUUGAGACUGAUUUGUAAAAAAUAAUCUCGCAGUCUUUAAUGCUAUACUCUUGUGGUACAAAACCUGAAAUAUUCAACAAAUUUAUUUUUAAUGGUAACCCAUGAAUACUAAGAAAUUGUCAAUCCCUUUCUCACAAUAAUUGAGAUUUCAUUGACAUUUUCCAACUUUUUAAAGGUAUCUUUGUUGUUUUGGCUCAGCAGUCUUGGCAGGUAGAACACUAGUUGACAAGCACUUUAAGCUUUGUACCAAAGCCACAAAACUUCCAGCAGUUAACUUCAUACACACAAUGUCAGAACAUUUGAUGAGAAGCUUUCCUAAAUUUGUCUUUUCAAUGCAACCAUGUGUCUUAAUUUAACAGUUUGUUCCAUUGACAUUUCAUUUUGUCAGCUGCCUUUUGCCUUUAUCUGGGCAUCAUGCUUCAGUCCAUCCUUUCAAAAGUAUUUUGAAACUCUCAUUGACAAAGAUUGUUUUGUGUCUUAGAAGCAUAGAAAAUAGAUAGACAAUAUAUCAACAAUCACAUUUUGUUAUGAGAUUCUACAUUCAAUUGUGUAAUCAUAUUAGGAAAAGAUUUUGCUUAAUUGAUGCAACCCUUUUUAAUUCUCCGAUUUAGGACCAAGAGAGAAAUUUGUCUACUUAGUGCUACAUUAUGGUGAGGUUAUCAGCUACAGGCGGUAUUCAGCGUGUACUGUCUGUUCUUUUGAAAUGAGUGCAAGGAACUAUCCAAAAUUGUUUCCAUUUGUUGGGAAAUCUAACACAAUAGAUAAUAGGUGCAGGAGUAGGCCAUUCGACCCUUUGAGCCAGCACCACCAUUCAAUGUGAUCAUGGCUGAUCAUCCCCAAUCAGUACCCUGUUCCUGCCUUCUCCCCAUAUCCCCUGACUCCGCUAUCUUUAAGAGCCCUAUCUAGCCCUCUCUUGAAAGUAUCCAGAGAACUGGCCUGAGGCAGAGAAUUCCACAGACUCUUUGUGUGAAAAAGACUCUCUGUGUGAACACCAGAGAUUAGUUUCAAAAUUAGACCCUAUUGAGACUGAAGUUAGGUUGUAUUAAAAGUAUAAAAUCAAAAUAGCUGUAGUGUAGCUACUAGAUUACUACCUCACACCUCCAACAAACUGGAUUCAAUCCUUGCCUCUGGAGCUGUCUGAAUUGAUUUUGCAUGUUCUCACUAUGACCAGAUGCCCUUGUUUAUUUCCAUAUUCCAAAGAUGUAUGGGUUGGUGUGUUAACCAGCCACUAUCCAAAUCUAAAUUGCCACUAAGGCAUAGGUGAGUGAUGGAAUCUGGGAGUGGGAGUUGAUGGGAUUGUGAAGAGAAUAAAAUGGGAUUCUUUUCAAUGGGUGAUUGAUGGUGCAGACUCGGUGUGGCAAAGGCCCCAUUUCCUUACUAUAUAACUCUUGACCACAACUGUUUACACAGUUGAAGUGGAAAUAAAGGUUUAGAAGCUGCUGUCAUGAGCAGCAAUUGAUACAAUGUCAAAUUAACAAUUUCAAAUAGAAAAUUGAUGGAUUAAGGAAAUGGGGAAGUAGUUAUAUAGAGUUAGAUCAGAAAUUAGGCAUGAUUUUGUUGAUAGACUAGGAUGGAGAAAUACGUGGACUGUUCCCAUUUUGGGUGCUGGUUACUGUUGAAGAAUCAAAGCCUGUAAAUGUGACAAAUAUUACCAAAUCUUAAUCCAGAGAAAAAGUAGCUAUGGUAAUUUGAAAGAUUAAAACUAUGAUGUAUUUACUACAGGGCAUGUUAGAACACUAUUUAUUACGUUGUAUUGAAGCAAACUAUUGGUUAAGUUUCUGACUCAUCAGACUAAGUGUCUGAAAAUAAUUAGUCAUCUUUUUGUCAGCUGAAGUUGCCACAAGAUGACUCGUUCUUACUGAAAUUUACACAAGAGGCUAUUUGUGCAUUGUUAUUGGACAAAAAUGAAAGUAUUCAGUUAACUUCCCAGUGCAUUUUGGGACAUCAUAAACUUCACAGAUGUUGCUCUGUAGCGUUACACAGCAUGGCUCUUCAGAUGUGAUUUCAGUAACUUUUAAAUAUGAUGAGCAUUUCUACUUCCACUAAUCCUUCAGAAAGCAAGUUUCAAAAUUCCAAAUCUUAAAUGAACGUUUUCCUGAUCUGGCUCCUUAUCGGUCCAUGUUCCUUAAUUAUGAAGCACUACCAAGGGAAAUAAAUCCUGUUCAUGAUUUCUAAUCUUACCCUAAUUUUGUACACCUGAAUUAAAUCUUCCUUCAUUCUGCAAUGCCCCAAAUAAACAUCUAGUCUCUGCUAAUAGAAAUUCUCCAGCCAGCCUAUAUUUUUGUGAUUCUCCAUUGCAUGUUUUCUAUAGAGUUAUAAAAAACUGUUGCACUCUAGUCUUAGAGUCCCAAACCAUUGAAAAAAGAUUAAUUAUCUACCAUAUCUAUGCCUUCAUAAUCUUAUAAUCACCCGUCAUGCCUCCUAUGCUCCAGAGAGAUUAUAUCCAGCAUUUCUAAUCUCUUGUAACUAAAAGCUCUGUUCCAAACAACAUCCUGGUGAAUUUCAUCUUCAUUCUUCACUCUUUUAGAAACACACACUUCCUGCAGUGUGGCGAAGAAACUACCUCAUCUGUGAAACAUGGUGGUGGGGGUGUUAUGACCUGGGCAUGUAUGGCUGCUGAAGGUACUGGCUCACUUAUCUUCAUUGAUGAUACAACUGCUGAUGGUAGUAGCAUAAUGAAUGCAGAAGUGUAUAGACACAUGCUAUCUGGUCAAGUUCAAACAAAUGCCUCAAAACUCAUUGGCCGAUGGUUCAUUCUACAGCAAGACAAUGAUCCCAAACAUACUUCUAAAGAAACAAAGGAGUUUUUCAAAGCUAAAAAAUGGUCAAUUCUUGAGUGGCCAAGUCAAUCAUCUGAUCUGAACCCAAUUGAGCAUGCCUUUUAUAUGCUGAAGAGAAAACUGAAGGGGACUAGUCCCCAAAACAAGCAUAAGCUAAAUUUGGCUGCAAUACAGGCCUGCCAGAGAAGACAACCACCAACUGGUGAUGCCCAUGAAUCGCAGACUUCAAGCAGUCAUUAAAUGCAAAGGAAAUGCAACAAAACACUAAACAUGACUACUUUCAUUCACAUUACAUUGCUGUGUCCCAAACAUUAUGGUGCCCUGAAAUUUGGGGACGAUGUAUAAACACUGCUGUGAUUUCUACAUGGUGAAGCCAAAAUGUAUACAAAUUGCCUUUAUUAAAAUCUGAAAAUGUGCACUUUAACCACAUGUGAUUUUUGUUUUUCUAUUACAACUCUCAAAUUGUGGAGUACAGAGGCAAAUAAAUAAAUGAUGGGUCUUUGUCCCAAAUAUUAUGGAGGGCACUGUAUGCCUUACACAAGUGACCAUUAUUCAAGCCUGAGUGCAGGCUGUGUUGGCAGCCUGAAGGCAUUGCAGCUCAGCCUGGUUGCCUUCACUAAAUUGCAUGUAUGAUUCUAAUUGAGCUCACAAGAUAAAGAUCAGGAGUAGAACCGCUGACUCAUUUUCCCCUACUUGUCCCAAGAUUGUUGAUGUAUUUGUGGCAUGCUACCAUCAUCCUGCCCAAGAUCAGUUAUCUCAUCACAGUUAUGCAGUAGAACCUGACAACUUCCUGUUCAGCUGCUGUCACAGAGUAACUUUGAAGUUUGUAUUCGUGCUAUUUUUUUUGGAAGUUGAGGCACAUUGUUAUAAUCUUUAUUGUUUGAAAGUUAUAUCUGCCAUCCCUAAUAAUAAUGGCUAGUUAUUAAAACUGAUUGCUGCAAAAUGAAAUGGUAAAACCAUUCUCGGUUUCUAUUGGAUGACUUGUAUGUAAAGUGAAGCGGGGGAGUAUAUCAAUGUUCACCUGAGCAAAUCAUAUUUUAAAAUGUGCAUAUAUCUUAGUACUAUUACAUGGCCAUUUAAAGUUAGAUUUAAUCAGUUCCAACACAUCAGUUGCGAAUCUUUAUUCAUCUUGAAUGUGACAGAUUUAUCAUUAUGAGAGAUAAUUACGGUAAAAUUUUGUCCCAAUUUAAAAACAAAAUGCAGAGGAUAUGAUUGCUGAAAUUCAAAUCGUGAGAUAAUACACUUUAUUUUUACAGUGAAUCCUGGCAAAAGUGUCACAUAAAAUGCCAAGGAGAAUAAUUCACAGCUGGUUGAAAUUUCUGACGAAGUCUCUAAAUUUUAUACAUUUAUCAAGACACCACCCUUAACCCUUUCCUUCAACUGUUUUUUUUAAAUUCCCCAACUUUAUUAAUUGCACUCACUCGCCUUUUCUGAUGAGAAUUCUGGUUUUACUGAAAUUUAUGAUAUUUUGGAAAUAUCGUAACAAUAUUUGGGACAUCACAUUACUACCCCUGUUUGUUGAGGAUGGCAACAAAAGUCCUUUAUAGCACUGAACAGAUUUAUCUUCUGGUGAAUUCAAUAAAACUAACAGUAGAUUUAGAGGAGAGAAGGAUUAGAUUAGUUUAUAUAAAAAUGAAUGUUUCCAUAUUUUAAUUGAUGUCUGUGGAAUUCUCUGCCUCAGAGGGCAGUGGUGGCAGGUUCACUGGAUGCUUUCAAGAGAGAGCUAGGUAGGACUUAAAAAUAGAGGAGUCGGGGGAUAUGGGGAGAAGGCAGGUA